rnacentral:rRNA from 1 species
GAUCCUGGCUCAGGAUGAACGCUAGCUACAGGCUUAACACAUGCAAGUCGAGGGGCAGCGGGAUUGAAGCUUGCUUCAAUUGCCGGCGACCGGCGCACGGGUGAGUAACGCGUAUCCAACCUUCCGUACACUCAGGGAUAGCCUUUCGAAAGAAAGAUUAAUACCUGAUGGUAUGAUGAGAUUGCAUGAUAGCACCAUUAAAGAUUUAUCGGUAUACGAUGGGGAUGCG